UGGUUAGAAUUUGGGAGAAGUAGUGGACAAAAAAUUUUCCUCCUCUCCCCUGAUUUGAUUUGCAGAUCACCGUCACAAGUCAUCUCCCACUCUACACUUUCCCCUCUCCAUUUCUUCAUCAUCACCGCCUCCAUUACUCCCUUUCUUCCUCUGUUUUCACUUUCUUUCUUUUUCGUCACCCUGAUCAUUAUCAUUCAGAAAUGAAAAACUACAUCCAACCACCUCCACUUCUCCAUUUUUUUCUUCUUUGAAAGCCGACCUUUUCAUUUCUUUUUUUUUUCCCUUUCUUCUUUCUUCCUUUACCCAAGGGACCAAAACAGAAAAAUGCAGAUGAUUACUAUUGUCUCACAUCUUGGUUGGAGAGUGUUCGUCCAACUUGUUUUCAUUUUUCCUCUUUCAUUGUUUCUCUGUUUUUCCUUCUAACUGACUAACUGAUAACGUCUAAUUCUAAUUCUAUUCUAACAAGACCUAAACUCCUAAACUAAGCCCUAGGGUUUUUGACGUCGCGCCGUUGUUUCUCCAAACCCCUCAGGCAACGAAAUGGCUCCAAAGAGAGGUGCGAGGGCUCCAGGUGCAGUGGCGAGGAGGAAAAUCGAGAAGGUGGCGAAUCCUCUGUUCGAGAAGCGUCCGAAGCAGUUUGGAAUUCGAGGAGCCCUCCCACCGAAGAAGGAUCUCACCAGGUUCAUCAAAUGGCCUCUCAAUGUCCGGAUCCAGAGGAAGGAGAGGAUCCUCAGGCAGUGCUUGAAGGUUCCUCCGACGCUCAACCAGUUCUCCAAGACUCGACAAAAAAUCUUGCAACAAAUCUAUUCAAGAUGCUUCUCAAGUACAGGCCUGAGGACAAGGCAGCCAAAAAAGAGCGUCUUCUCAAGACAGCUCAAGCUGAGGCUAAAGGGAAAGCUUCUGAUGCUAAGAAGCCAAUCGUUGUCAAAUACAGUUUACAGCAUGUGACGUGCCUUGUUGAACAGGCACAAUUGUUGCUCACGAUGUGGACCCAAUCGAGUUGGUUGUUUGGCUUCCUGCUUUGUGCAGGAAGAUGGAAAUUCCCUAUUGUAUUGUGAAGGGAAAAUCGCGAUUGGGAGUGAUUGUUCAUAAGAAAACUACAUCAGUCUUGUGCCUGACCUCAGUGAAGAAUGAAGAUAAGUUGGAGUUCUCAAAAGUUUUGGAGGCCAUUAAGGUGAUACAUAAUUUCCUACAGGUUGUACAGGUUCUCUAUAUUGAGCCGAUGAAUAUUAUGAUUUGUUAUCUAACAUUCAGCAGUUAGUUAAGAUUGAGGACAAUGGAUUGAAAGUCCACGAGAAGGAGAAAAAGAAUCAACUUUUCAGGUUGUGCGAUUUUCUUUAAUUUAUUUUUUCGGUUAAGAUCCUUCCAGUUUGAUUCAAGAUGGGCUCUUGCCUUCGAUGAUGGCUUUGAUCUCUGAUAGGCUGCUUAGACAUCCUAAUACAGAUGUCAGGAUUUCAGUUAUGUCUUGCAUCUGUGAGGUGUUAAGGAUUAGUUCUCCGUAUCAACCUUAUGAGAAUGAAAGAAUGAAGAUAUUUUUCGGUUCACUUUAGCUGCAUUCGAGAAGUUGUCGCUUUUCUCUGGUCGCUGCUAUGCUAAAGCUUUGCACAUUCUUGAAAUCGUUGCGAAGGUCAAAUGCUGCAUCAUCUUGCUGGACAUAGGCUGCGACUCAUUGGUCACUAAAAUCUUCGAAGUCCUUCUAAGUACCAUUAAGUUCAACCACCCACAAGCUGUAUUCUCAUACAUGGAAGAUAUUAUGACUUGGCUUUUAGAUGAGAGUGAUGACAUCCCAUUGGGUCUUUUAAAGCCGAUUCUAGCUAGUGUGCAAAAGGAAAACGAGAUUACUUCACCCGUUUCCUCUUGGUUAGGAGAGAGUAUUAAAGAACUGCUCAACUAAAGUCAGACCUUUUCUUAUGAAUGCAGUGAAGUUGAUGAGGCUAGAUAUUAAUGAUUAUGCCGAUAUAGUUGCUUCAUUAUGCCGAGAAAUGCCAGCUGGGGACAAUGUGGUGCUCAUCUUCUUGGCUGAUAUCUGCUCAUUUGGAAUCCACCACACUGGAGUUGGCUCAUGGUCAUGCACCAUUCUCGAAAUAUCCCCCAAUGAAGGUUCCUUUGAUGACCAUACAAAAUGCGCCUCCUGGACUUGAUUAUGACCGCGAUAAAAAGUUCUCC